UACGUAGGCAGCAAGCGUUUGUUCGGAGUUACUGGGCGUAAAGAGUGCGUAGGCGGUCCUGUAAGUUUGGUGUGAAAUCUCCCGGCUCAACUGGGAGGGUGCGCCGAAGACUGCAGGGCUUGAGUAUGGGAGAGGUAAGCGGAAUUCCUGGUGUAGCGGUGAAAUGCGUAGAUAUCAGGAGGAACACCUGUGGUGUAGACAGCUUACUGGACCAUAACUGACGCUGAGGCACGAAAGCGUGGGUAGCAAACAGG
rnacentral:rRNA from 1 species